GAUGAACGCUAGCGGCAGGCUUAACACAUGCAAGUCGAGGGGUAUAGUUCUUCGGAGCUAGAGACCGGCGCACGGGUGCGUAACGCGUAUGCAAUCUACCUUUUACAGAGGGAUAGCCCAGAGAAAUUUGGAUUAAUACCCCGUAACAUAGCGAUGUGGCAUCACAUUGCUAUUAUAGCUUCGGCGCUUGUUGAUGGGUGUGCGGCUGAUUAGAUAGUUGGCGGGUAACGGCCCACCAAGUCUACGAUCAGUAGCUGAUGUGAGAGCAUGAUCAGCCACACGGGCACUGAGACACGGGCCCGACUCCUACGGGAGGCAGCAGUAAGGAAUAUUGGACAAUGGACGCAAGUCUGAUCCAGCCAUGCCGCGUGAAGGAUUAAGGUCCUCUGGAUUGUAAACUUCUUUAUAAGGUACGAAAAGGUACUUCUAGAUCGUCUGACGGUACCUUAUGAAUAAGCACCGGCUAACUCCGUGCC
rnacentral:rRNA from 1 species